rnacentral:rRNA from 1 species
CCUACGGGAGGCAGCAGUAGGGAAUAUUGCUCAAUGGGGGAAACCCUGAAGCAGCAACGCCGCGUGGAGGAUGAAGGUUUUCGGAUUGUAAACUCCUUUUGUUAGAGAAGAUAAUGACGGUAUCUAACGAAUAAGCACCGGCUAACUCCGUGCCAGCAGCCGCGAGAAUACGGAGGUUGCAAGCGUUACUCGGAAUCACUGGGCGUAAAGAGCGCGUAGGCGGGAUAGCAAGUCAGAUGUGAAAUCCUAGGGCUUAACCAUAGAACUGCAUUUGAAACUGUUAUUCUAGAGUAUGGGAGAGGUAGGCGGAAUUCUUGGUGUAGGGGUAAAAUCCGUAGAGAUCAAGAGGAAUACUCAUUGCGAAGGCGACCUGCUAGAACAUAACUGACGCUGAUGCGCGAAAGCGUGGGGAGCAAACAGGAUUAGAUACCCGGGUAGUC